rnacentral:lncRNA from 1 species
AGCCGGAACUUACAUCAGUCCAUCCAUAUUGUAGCACAGUUAAACACAUAUAGAUCUUCAAGGGGAUCCGGAAGAAGACUCUGAAUAUAAACUAAAACUGAAGCCAUUCCACAGAAACUUACACUCGAACAAGGCUGACAAGAAUUCAUAUGAAUCAACCAAUAACUGAAGAUGAGGUGUUGCGAUUGGAAUGAAGAGCUAUGAGACCUCUGAUGCCUUGCUUGAAAGACUGCCAAACCAAACCCAAACAAUGAAGACCCCACAUCUGAACCGGCUAAGUACUUCCACCACAAACCAGAAAAAAGAUAAGGUUUAACAAGGGCAGUCCAAACCAAACAGAGAACACCAGUAGAACCAAAGCUACUUCACUGAAAACCUCAACAGAGCAUAAAACCGAAGAGAAACCCAUCGCACAAUCAGGUUAAUCUUGAUUCACAAAACUUAACAGACCCGAAACCAAGCAACCAACACACUCAUCUUGACUGCAAGAGAUAAAAAUACUACAAACCAAGCCACAACCUGUGAUAAGCGAGAGACAGAGGCCAUCCGACAUCAUCGAUCCAAACUCAAUCCCAUUCGGAUCUACAUUCAGCUUCCCCAUCACUCACAGGCGGAAAGAGCACGCCAUGACACAGAAGCCGACCUCACCGAAGACGAAACAUCGUCCAGCCACCGCUCUAAUACCCAAAGCACCACCAUCGUCGGAUAAACCUCCAUCACCAGCCACCACCGUCGAAACUCAGAUGACUACAUAAGACCGAUUACUAGAAAAGAGAGAACAUGGAGGUCCACUCACAGCACGGCGAGGAGCGCCGGCCGGAGAAGACCUCAGAUCUAGAAGAUGAAGCUGAGGCGGCGCUCGGGUUGGGAGAGAGAGUUU